AUUGAACGCUGGCGGCAGGCCUAACACAUGCAAGUCGAGCGGAUGAAGGGAGCUUGCUCCUGGAUUCAGCGGCGGACGGGUGAGUAAUGCCUAGGAAUCUGCCUGGUAGUGGGGGAUAACGUCCGGAAACGGGCGCUAAUACCGCAUACGUCCUGAGGGAGAAAGUGGGGGAUCUUCGGACCUCACGCUAUCAGAUGAGCCUAGGUCGGAUUGGCUAGUUGGUGGGGUAAAGGCCUACCAAGGCGACGUUCCGUAACUGGUCUGAGAGGAUGAUCAGUCACACUGGAACUGAAACACGGUCCAGACUCCUACGGGAGGCAGCAGAGGGGAAUAUUGGACAAGGGGCGAAAGCCGGAUCCAGCCAGGCCGCGUGUGUGAAGAAGGUCUUCGGAUUGUAAAGCACGUUAAGUUGGGGGGAAGGGCAGUAAGUUAAUACCUUGCUGUUUUGACGUUACCAACAGAAUAAGCACCGGCUAACUUCGUG
rnacentral:rRNA from 1 species